rnacentral:misc_RNA from 1 species
UCACUACUUACGUAGGCAGUCUCUUUAGAGUCCCCAGCAUAACCUGAUGGCAACUAAAGAUAGGGGUUGCGUUCGUUGCGGGACUUAACCCAACACCUCACGGCACGAACUGACGACAGCCAUGCAGCACCUUGUUUUGUGCUCCGAAGAGAAGACUGGUUUCCCAGUCGAUCACUCACAUUCAAGCCCAGGUAAGGUUCCUCGCGUAUCAUCGAAUUAAACCACAUGCUCCUCCGCUUGUGCGGGCCCCCGUCAAUUCCUUUGAGUUUCAACCUUGCGGUCGUACUUCCCAGGUGGAUUACUUAACGCUUUCGCUUAGUUGCUGACAGUGUAUCGCCAACAACGAGUAAUCAACGUUUACAGCAUGGACUAC